AGCGGGAUGGCCUAAUGGCUAGAGCAUUGGCCUGGGAGUCAAGGCCCUGGGUUCUAAUCCCUGCUCUGCCA
rnacentral:tRNA from 1 species